rnacentral:misc_RNA from 1 species
AACGCAUCUUGCGCCCCUUGGUAUUCCGAGGAGCAUGCCUGUUUGAGUGUCAUUUGACUUCUCUCAACCACAUCAGUCAUUGAUGUGGCUUGGAUGUGGGGGUUUGCAGGCUUUCCAGAAGUCCAGCUCCCCUGAAAUGCAUUAGUGGUAUCUGAGCUGCUAUUUGGUGUGAUAAUUUAUCUAUGCCUUUGGUAAUGCUGGUCAGCAACUGCUUAUAACAACUUCAUUUGACAAAUUUGACCUCAAAUCAGGUAGGACUACCCGCUGAACUUAA